CUACACGACCGUACCGCAAACCGACACUGGUGCGCGAGAUGAGUAUUCUAAGGCGCUUGAGAGAACUCAGGAGAAGGAACUCGGCAAAUUGACACCGUAACUUCGGAAGAAGGUGUGCCUUUAGUAGGUGAACCAUUUACUUGGGGAGCCCAAUGAGGCUGCAAAAAAUCGGUGGCUGCAACUGUUUAUUAAAAACACAGCACUCUGCUAAGACGAAAGUCGACGUAUAGGGUGUGACGCCUGCCCGGUGCUGGAAGAUUAAAUGAUGGGGUGCAAGCUCUUGAUUGAAGUCCCAGUAAACGGCGGCCGUAACAAUAACGGUCCUAAGGUAGCGAAAUUCCUUGUCGGGUAAGUUCCGACCUGCACGAAUGGCGUAAUGAUGGCCACACUGUCUCCUCCUGAGACUCAGCGAAGUUGAAAUGUUUGUGAUGAUGCAAUCUCCCCGCGGAAAGACGGAAAGACCCCAUGAACCUUUACUGUAGCUUUGUAUUGGACUUUGAACAGAUCUGUGUAGGAUAGGUGGGAGGCUUUGAAGUGUGGUCGCUAGAUCGCAUGGAGCCAACGUUGAAAUACCACCCUGGUGUGUUUGAGGUUCUAACCUAGGUCCAUUAUCUGGAUCGGGGACAGUGCAUGGUAGGCAGUUUGACUGGGGCGGUCUCCUCCCAAAGUGUAACGGAGGAGUUCGAAGGUACGCUAGGUACGGUCGGACAUCGUGCUAAUAGUGCAAUGGCAUAAGCGUGCUUAACUGCGAGACUGACAAGUCGAGCAGAUGCGAAAGCAGGACAUAGUGAUCCGGUGGUUCUGUAUGGAAGGGCCAUCGCUCAACGGAUAAAAGGUACUCUGGGGAUAACAGGCUGAUACCGCCCAAGAGUUCAUAUCGACGGCGGUGUUUGGCACCUCGAUGUCGGCUCAUCUCAUCCUGGGGCUGUAGCCGGUCCCAAGGGUAUGGCUGUUCGCCAUUUAAAGAGGUACGUGAGCUGGGUUUAAAACGUCGUGAGACAGUUUGGUCCCUAUCUUCCGUGGGCGCUGCAGAUUUGAGGAAGCCUGCUCCUAGUACGAGAGGACCGGAGUGGACGAACCUCUGGUGUAUCGGUUGUCACGCCAGUGGCAUUGCCGAGUAGCUAAGUUCGGAAGAGAUAACCGCUGAAAGCAUCUAAGCGGGAAACUCGUUUCAAGAUUAGAUCUGCCGGGGCCUUGAGCCCCCUAAAGAGUCGUUCAAGACCAGGACGUUGAUAGGUCAGGUGUGGAAGUGAAAAG
rnacentral:rRNA from 1 species